rfam:Gossypium raimondii Chr11_contig_1317, whole genome shotgun sequence.
UAGCCGUGCGGUGAGCACGGAGCGGACUAUUCUUUUGCCUUUUACUAAAUAUGAUCGUGUGCUCCCCGCUCUUAGCGGCAUAUGGCUAAUUUUGUAGGCCUAAUUUCUUAUUGUAAUGGC